CCCAGCUUGGUCGGGGUCUGUCACAGAGUCCCUGGGCAAUGCUCUGAAACUGCUCCCUGUGAAGCCAGGCAGGACUCUGGGGAAGUCUCCUCUCUGGGAGCAGCCUGUCUGCAGGACCCACAGCUCCCCCGGCUUCCCCCUUCCUGGGUCUGACCUCGGAGCAUUCAGCAUCCUCAGCCCCU